GCGCGGGGGCGGGGCCUAGGACGGGAACUGCAGGGCCCUCGCCCGCCUCCCUCUUUCCUGCCCGCUCUCUUGGUGCGGCCACAGCGCUUCGCCCUGCCCCUGCGGUGUGUGACCUCCGGCCUGCGGGCGGUGGUCGGCAGAGUGGCUAGCCAGUCACUCCUUCGUUUCUCACUCACCCGGCCUGGCCUCGUCCCCGCCGCUCUCGUUCUUCCCUGGCCAGCCGGGAGCCUUGUACGGCGCUAGCCGGAGCGGCGGGGGAGUCGCGCCCGGGGCCCCGCGUGGCCGCGGCUCGGCGGUGACCCCUUGCCAGACUCGCUACCAUUGUUUUCUCACUGGUUCCGUGCUCAGGGUAUUUUGACCUACCAGGGACUUUCACAUAGAUGGAGACUUGAGCCUGAAAAUCCGACUAAAUCCUACCGGGCUCGCUUAGCCUGUGCAGGCUGGCUGUUGGAUUGCUGGUAUUUGGGGAAAGAAUAAAAGGUCGCUCCCCGCCACCACUCAAUGUAGACAACGUGGUAAACUUCAAAUACCUGAUUAAGAGCGCUUGCAAUUCUAACAAGGAGAACAUAUACUGGUGGUUAGAAAUGGCGUUAUAAAUAUCUGCAUUCGUUGCCCUUGUACCUGCAACGUGUUGUUUUCCCAAUUAUAUCUAAUUAGGUUAUGGAUGUACUGCAUUUGUGGCCUUAAAAAAAAAUCACUAUGUGGUCCACACUGUCCUAGAACUCCUGACCCUUUCACCCACCCUCAGGAACUACACAGUGCCUAGAGAAUAUUAGUUGAAUAUGAGGAUAGUCUACUUGAACUAUGAUAGCCUUGUCACAAUGUUGUUUAAAAUAGCCGGAAAGACAUGAGACUGCUGCUUACUGCAAGUGCAGCACAGAUGGCUGCAUUUGGAGUGUACUCAUCCUUGCUUCAUUUCACUUUUUAUGCUCACAUGCCUUUAUUAAAAUGUGUUUUAAAUUUUGUUACUAUUCCUGAUGGUAAUCUGUAAACUCACUUUUUUUUAAAGUGCUGAAAAAAAAAAAAGAUACUGAGCAGAGUGUGUCUAAAGAGACUGAGGUUUAGAACAGACACAGCAAGAAGCUAUAACAUAAUUACUAAUGACGGCCACAUUUAUUAUGUAUCAACCUGCCUUUUGGGUUAAGAGUCUUGGAGGAUCUAGUUAUGGAAAAUGCAAAGAGCUGUUUGUCUAGCUAUAAAUGACAAUGGUCACUGGAAAUAGACCAUGAAAUCUGCAGGGGUGGGGUAGGGUCUGAAGACUUGUUUUGUGAAGUAGGAUUGGUUUGUUGCUUUUCCUCCCCUGGCCUGGGGAAAAUACUUAAUGAAAGCUAGUAUUCUUUGAGUUUUUAUUAAUAUCUCAAGAACUUGAUAAAAAAAAAAACAAAAAAAAACCCUAUAGGUGGAGUUCUCUUUCUCAGGACAGCGCUUUGUUAACCUGGGGGAUUGCUAGGUGUUUCGUGAUAGCCCUGCCUUCUACCUGGCCGGGGCCAAUAGCACCCCAUUUUCAUUUGAGGCAACUAAAAGUCUUUGAGGAUGCUUACAGAUGUUCCCCGGGGAAUCAGAGUCUACAGCAGUAAACUCAAAAAUGUUCCCUUUGCUGCUGCCUCUUUAACCGCCCACUUUCUAAUUGAGAUUUUUUUGUUUUGUUUUUGUUUUUAAGACUACCACUCAGAUCUCUUGUCUCUAUGCUUUUUAUCCUUGAAGGAGUCUGGCUCACUCCCUUGCUGAAGCACUGUUGCCUAGAGAAUAUGGUGUAAUGGUAAUUGUGUGUGGUGAUUAGGGCAUUUGAAAUAGAAAGGAGAAAGGAUGAAACUGGAGUGGGUAGGCUGGAGCAUGUGUGUGGGACAGUUGGUAGAAGGCGGGUGCCUCUGCUUUGCCACCAGCUGGUGUCUUUCUUGCUUUGGUUACAGGAAAGUGACAGCAAACUACAUGCGAACUCUUAGGUUUCUGUACAUAUUCCUGCAUUUAAUUUUGAAUGCUACAAGUACUGAUAAUAUUUUUCCUUUUUCUGCUUAUAGAUGGUCACUUCAAGAUAUUUUGUAAUAAGAACUUGCUGAUUUUUCUAUCCAAAAAUCCACCUCAUGAAAUGAAAAUGCUUCUCUGGAGAUGAAAGAUUAAAGAAUUAUUGGUCUGUUUGGAUGCGUGUUGGGGUUCCUGGGAUGAGUGAAUUGCCAUGAAGGCACAGAGGAAUGUCUGCUGACUGAUUCCCAGAGAGACCAUGGAGGAGUGGUGUGGAAGCGCUCCAAGGCUCCAGCCCUUGAACUUGACAUGACUUAUCAGAGAUUUUGGUGGUGGUGGUGGUAAUGAAUUUUACAUAUAACAGACAGCAAAAAUCACCCAUCUUUAUAAAAAUUUGAAAAGGAAGACCCCGUUAUUACCUAUAUAUAAAGUAAAAAUUAUAUUCUGUGGGUGUAGAUCACGUAGUUGAAGAAAGAACAGGAGAAUAUGAAUUAAGGGAAACUACUUGUUGAAAUUUCUGUGACUUUAUUAGUAAUGUUUUUUUCCUGUAUUUUAGACGUUUUAGAGGGCUUACAGCCCUGGAGAGAGACUGCCCCUUUCCAGGAUGUACUAAUUCUCAUAAUACAGUUUGCCUAGGAAUACACCUUACAUAUGCAAACAAGCCCAUUCUAAGUCUGUGUCCUCAAAACACUUCUGUUUCUGCUGCUUCAGAUGGUCAGUUUCCUUUCUGCCUGACCGUCCCAGGCCUACUACCAGGCACUAUGAUAACCAUACAGAGAGGGCCUAGCUCAACAGCACAAAGCCCUGCUGAAGUUAUGCAAGUUAUCUAACUCUGUCUUGCCUUCUGGAAAGCUCCAAUAAAGGAUUUGGCCUCAGCCCUUUCUUCUCCCCUCUUUUUACCUCUGACUAAACCCUGGUGCUCCUCACACAGCCCGGAGAUGUUUUGUUGGCCUCCUCUCAAGCAGUAUGGUUAAUAAAUUCUCUUCUGGUGA